UGCCCAAGACAGUGGAAGGGGGAGGGGAGUCAGGCCCAGGCAGCACCGAGUGAGGUCAGCUCCUUGUGGUGACAGACAAGGCCCAGCACGAACUGGCAGUGUUCCUGUUUGCUUUUCCCUGAGCAGAAGGUGGAAAGUCUGGUUUAACGCACCAAGUGCAUACCUCAAAGCAGGAGGGGUCUGGGGUGUUGAGGGUGUGUGCGAGGCGGACAGACCACCGAGCCUGGGCUUGAUGGGCAAGUUAGAGCUAGUGUUAGGGCCCAUGGGGUGGCAGGAUCGCAGAGGAGACAAGACCAAGGACCCAAGAGACUGGAUCACCCCCCUGGAGGAGUGUGGGUUGGACACCAGUUGCCGCUGGUUGUCCAAAUCGACGACCAGGUCGUCCAGCUCCUGCUGAAGCCUGUUCUUGGUCUUUUCCAGUUUGUCAUAAGCAGCUGCCUUCUCUUCGUACUGCUGGGUGAGGCCUUCGAUUUCCUUCUGGAACCGCUUCUUGCCCUCUUCCAAGGCCUCCACGGUGCUGGCAAAGUCCUGUAGCUUCUUCUUCGAAUCGGAGAGCUAAAACGACAGUGUCCGGGUUGGGGUAAAAGGAGGGCCAAUGAGCGAGUCCCAUCCCUGAUUCCACCCUGAGAAGAGACCACCUUCUCCUCCUGGAGGAAAUUCAACAGCAGGGGGAGCCAGUGAGCCAAACAAAAUGGCGCCAACACUCAACCACAGCCUCUCCGAGCUCCUGAGCUACCCUUCAAGGCUUACACCUAGAAAGGCAAGGACACACGGCCAGCACCUGGAUGUUCAGAGUUGAGAUGUGGCGCUCCAGGUUCUGCUUGGCGUCUAUCUCCUCGUCCAGCUGGUCCUGCAGGCUGUUCCUCUCGUCCUCCAGCUGGCGCAACUUGGUGGACACAUUGAGUUUCUGCCGGGUUUCUUCUUGAAGCAGCUCCUACGAAAUGCCAUGUGGAAGUCUCAGGGAGCCACCCCCAGGAAGUCCACACCCCAGCUCCCUCUGAAUCAUGUGGCAGAAUACCCACCUGGGUGUCCUGGAGCUGGGACCCAAGGGAUGCCACAUCCUUGGCCAGUUUUAUGGCCUUCCCCUCAGCCUCGUUGAGCAUCCCUGUGACACUCUCCACUUCAUUCUGAGGGUGCCAAGAGACUGUGGUUAGAGCCCUCUAGAACAGGAUCCUUAUGAAGUAAGAGAAGAUCUCUCGACUCACAUGAUAGGCCUCGUUGUAUUCACUGAUUAGGAAAUAGCCAUGGGCUAUGGGGCCUGAUCAUGGUAACCCCAUGGCCCCCAAGGGAAGUGUAGCACCUAUAAGUUGUGAGGCCUGGCUCUAAGAACCUCUUUGAGCCCCAGACUGUAUUGGCUUGUUCCUGAUCCUACUAAAUGGACCCUGAAUCCUUGCCAAGGUUGGCAAAAAUGAAGCAGCAGGUUAGAGAGUCUAGACAACUCGUCUGCUCCCUGAAGUUGGAAAGGGGAUGCAGAUGGCACCUUUACUUCCAAGGGCCCUGUUCCCACCACCCUCUUCCUCGCCUCUACUCUUUGCCCUUUCAUUGACCUUCAUGCCCCAACCAGAGAUGCAGACACUAAAGGUAAGAAGCCCUCUACUGAGGUAUCAGUCAACCGUCCAUCCUCUCCCCCUUACGAGGAGAACGUAAAUAAUCUUGACUCUACGUCUCCAGGACACUGCCUGUGUUACGGUAGCAGAACCCCUGCUCUCAACGGCAUGUGGAAAGAAAUCCUACUUAAUGCUCCCCCUGCCCUCUGGUCCCAGGCUGUAAGCACACUGACUUAUCAAAAGUCUGCCUGGAUCCCAUGAAUGGAUGUCAGGCCAAGUGUCUAAGUCAAAGCUAACUAAGACCAAAGACCGAGAGACCUUGUCACUGCUCAGGUCAAAACCCAUCAAUGACGACUUGUCGCGCGGAAUAAAGAUGAAUGUACAUAGAAUAGGGCCUCGAAGGCCCUGUGUCAUCUGGCCACAACCUACCUCCCUCGUCCCAUCUUGUACCAUGUUUCCCCUGCCAGCUCAGCUUUCUGGCGUCACUUAUGUGGUCUCUUCUGAUUUCCCACUAACCACUGGGCCCUUGCACAUGCUGUCCCCUCUGCCUGGUAGACUUCUACUUAUCUCAGAUGAUACCUCCUUCUUCGGGAAGCCUUUCCUGACUCCUCCUCCCGCCGGCCAGACCCCGCCCCCCCAACCCCCGCCCCAGUUACGUACAGUGUCAUUUUACACUCACUCAUGGAAUUAUAAACGCCUUUCCCUCCACUAGGUCAGAGUUCUAUGGGGGCAGGGAAUGUGUCUUUCUUGCUGAUGUAUCUCAGGGUCAAACAUGGUGCAUGGUCUACAGCAAAUACUCCUACACUUGUUGAAGGAGCAGAAGAGGGCCUUUCAAGAGUGAAUUGAGGAGGGAGAAGCCCUCCUCUCCUCGAGGGACCUUACAAGAGGGAACCAACUUGCUCUGCAGCCAAAGACUUCAGUUAGCCGGGGAGAGCUUCGUCCCCCCCCCAGGGAUGGCUCCAAGGGCCGCUGGCCGUGCAGGCCGCUCACCUGCAGCUUGUGGACCUUGUCAUUGAGCUCGGCCCGGGCCCGCUCCCCAUCGCUGCACUUGGACUGCAGUUCCUGGAGCUGCACCUCCAGCUUCUUCUUCUUGUGCUCCACCUCCUGCUUCGCCUGGUUCAGGACCCGCAGCUCCCCGGCCAGGUCUGCGUUCUCCUUCUCCAGCGUCUGCUUGUUCUUGUCUAGGUUGGCCUUGGCCUGGCCGGGGAAGCACAGGGCAGGGAAGGCAUUACAGCUGUGGCCAGGAAAGCGGGUUAAGAACCUAACUCUGUCACUGGUGGAUCUUCCUCCUUCCCUUCCCCUCCGGUCAGGGAGGUGCAGGGACCUGUGCUUGUCCCCUCUGGGAAGAAACGCAGCAGCGUGGGGGACACAAGGUCACGGUGAGACAUUUUGCAUUCUGUUCUGCUAAAGCUCAAAGGUUGCAAACCAGCAUUCCACAAGCUACAUCCAACCUGUCGUCAUGUCCCGAUAGACCUAUUCUUUGUUGUCAACAUUUAAUAAAGAAAAAAUAAAACUGUA